UACGUAGGGUGCGAGCGUUGUCCGGAAUUAUUGGGCGUAAAGAGCUCGUAGGCGGUCUGUCGCGUCGAUCGUGAAAAACUUGGGGCUUAACCCUGAGCUUGCGGUCGAUACGGGCAUGACUGGAGUUCGGCAGGGGAGACUGGAAUUCCUGGUGUAGCGGUGAAAUGCGCAGAUAUCAGGAGGAACACCGGUGGCGAAGGCGGGUCUCUGGGCCGAUACUGACGCUGAGGAGCGAAAGCGUGGGGGAGCAAACAGG
rnacentral:rRNA from 1 species